CCUACGGGGGGCAGCAGUGAGGAAUAUUGGUCAAUGGGCGGACGCCUGAACCAGCCAAGUCGCGUGAGGGAAGACUGCCCUAUGGGUUGUAAACCUCUUUUGUCAGGGAGCAAGUGGCGCUACGUGUAGCGUUAUCGAGAGGACCUGAAGAAAAAGCAGCGGCCAACCCCGUGCCAGCAGCCGCGGUAAUACGGAGGAUGGGAGCGUUAUCCGGAUUGAUUGGGUUUAACGGGGGCGUAGGCGGAAUGCCAAGUCAGCGGUAAAAUCGCGGGGCUCAACCUCGCUCCGCCGUUGAAACUGGCGUUCUUGAGUGGGCGAGAAGUAUGCGGAAUGCGUGGUGUAGCGGUGAAAUGCAUAGAUAUCACGCAGAACUCCGAUUGCGAAGGCAGCAUACCGGCGCCCAACUGACGCUGACGCACGAAAGCGUGGGUAUCGAACAGGAUUAGAUACCCCUGUAGUC
rnacentral:rRNA from 1 species